GUUGUAUAGUCAAGUAAUUAAGUGCAUGUGGUGGAAGCCUUGGCAGUCAGAGGCGAAGAAAGA
rnacentral:rRNA from 1 species